rnacentral:rRNA from 1 species
AAUGCCGGUCUCCAAGAACAAUAUCUAGCUUUGUACAACAUUGUUUGCGAUAAGAAUAAAACUAUUGCGCAGGUGCUCAGUUCAUCCCGGCCCAAUAUUUUGUUUAGGCGGGAUUUGAUUGGCCCCUGACUUAUGUCAGGGCAUAAUUUUUUAUCCCGUUUGGAUUUGAUCAAUUUGACACAAGGUGGUGAUGUGUUUCGCUGGAACCUUACUACAUCUGGGUAUUUCACAGUGGACUCUAUGUAUUGCGCGCUCGCGCAUUCUGAGGUACCAAUGAGUAAUAACAAGAAAAUCUGGAAGUCAAAAAUUACAAAAAAUUAA